rnacentral:rRNA from 1 species
GAUGAACGCUGGCGGCGUGCCUAAUACAUGCAAGUCGAGCGAACAGACGAGGAGCUUGCUCCUCUGACGUUAGCGGCGGACGGGUGAGUAACACGUGGAUAACCUACCUAUAAGACUGGGAUAACUUCGGGAAACCGGAGCUAGUACCGGAUAAUAUGUUGAAUCGCAUGGUUCAACAGUGAAAGACGGUCUUGCUGUCACUUAUAGAUGGAUCCGCGCCGCAUUAGCUAGUUGGUAAGGUAACGGCUUACCAAGGCAACGAUGCGUAGCCGACCUGAGAGGGUGAUAGGCCACACUGGAACUGAGACACGGUCCAGACUCCUACGAGAGGCAGCAGUAGGGAAUCUUCCGCAGUGGGCGAAAGCCUGACGGAGCAACGCCGCGUGAGUGAAGAAGGUCUUCGGAUCGUAAAACUCUGUUAUUAGGGAAGAACAAAUGUGUAAGUAACUAUGCACGUCUUGACGGUACCUAAUCAGAAAGCCACGGCUAACUACGUG